rnacentral:rRNA from 1 species
UACGGAGGGUGCAAGCGUUAUCCGGAUUUACUGGGUUUAAAGGGUGCGUAGGUGGGUCUGUAAGUCAGGGGUGAAAUCUUCAAGCUUAACUUGGAAACUGCCAUUGAUACUAUAGGUCUUGAAUUAUCUGGAGGUAAGCGGAAUAUGUCAUGUAGCGGUGAAAUGCUUAGAUAUGACAUAGAACACCAAUUGCGAAGGCAGCUUACUAAGGAUCGAUUGACACUGAGGCACGAAAGCGUGGGGAUCAAACAGG